UUGCCCCACAAUAUGGGGCAUUGCUGGCCGCUCUGUUGGGUGCGGCUCGCGGGAAGCCCCAGUCGGUAGGAGAGACGGGCAAGAGCCCCCUUAUGGAUCUGAAUGUGUUCGCUAACGGAAGCCGCUUGGAACGUGGAGAAAACCCGGUCCAGCACCGCAGGUCCCAUACACACAGGAUGUGUCCUUGACUGUCGGGUCUUCAUUGACAAUCAAAGGGAAACCUGCCGUCUCUUUCAGGAAUCCACAAAUGCAGGUGGAUUUCCACACUGGGACUGA
rnacentral:lncRNA from 1 species